UAUUACCGGUACGGGCCGUGGGAGCGGUAGCCCGGAGAUGGGCACUGAGACAAGGGCCCAGGCCCUACGGGGCGCAGCAGUCGCAAAAACUUCGCAAUAAGCGAAAGCUUGACGGGGCCAUCCCGAGUGCCAUCUGCUGAGGAUGGCUUUUACCUAGUAUAGAUAGCUGGGGGAAUAAGGAGAGGGCAAGUCUGGUGUCAGCCGCCGCGGUAAUACCAGCUCUCCGAGUUGUAGGGAUAUUUAUUGGGCCUGAAGCAUCCGUAGCCGGCUGAACAAGUCCCCUGUUAAAUCCAGCGACGAAUCGUUGGCGUGCGGGGGAUACUGCUCGGCUAGGGGGCGGGAGAGGCCGCCGGUAUUCUUGGGGUAGGGGUGAAAUCCUAUAAUCCCAGGAGGACCACCAGUGGCGAAGGCUGUCGGCUAGAACGCGCCCGACGGUGAGGGAUGAAAGCUGGGGGAGCGAACCGGAUUAGAUACCCGGGUAGUCCCAGCUGUAAACGAUGCAGGCUAGGUGUUAGGGCGGCUACGUGCCGCCCUAGUGCCGCAGGGAAGCUGUUAAGCCUGCCGCCUGGGGAGUACGGCCGCAAGGCUGAAACUUAAAGGAAUUGGCGGGGGAGCACCACAAGGGGUGAAGCUUGCGGUUUAAUUGGAGUC
rnacentral:rRNA from 1 species